GACGAACGCUGGCGGCGUGCUUAACACAUGCAAGUCGAACGGAAAGGCCCUGCUUUUGUGGGGUGCUCGAGUGGCGAACGGGUGAGUAACACGUGAGUAACCUGCCCUUGACUUUGGGAUAACUUCAGGAAACUGGGGCUAAUACCGGAUAGGAGCUCCUGCUGCAUGGUGGGGGUUGGAAAGUUUCGGCGGUUGGGGAUGGACUCGCGGCUUAUCAGCUUGUUGGUGGGGUAGUGGCUUACCAAGGCUUUGACGGGUAGCCGGCCUGAGAGGGUGACCGGCCACAUUGGGACUGAGAUACGGCCCAGACCCCUACGGGAGGCAGCAGUGGGGAAUAUUGCAAAAUGGGCGGAAGCCUGAUGCAGCAACGCCGCGUGCGGGAUGACGGCCUUCGGGUUGGAAACCGCUUUCGCCUGUGACGAAGCGUGAGUGACGGUAAUGGGUAAAGAAGCACCGGCUAACUACGUG
rnacentral:rRNA from 1 species